rnacentral:rRNA from 1 species
AAAAAAGGUAAGCUACUAAGAGCGAAUGGUGGAUGCCUUGACUGGUAAAGGCGAUGAAGGACGUACUAGACUGCGAUAAGCUACGGGGAGCUGUCAAGAAGCUUUGAUCCGUAGAUUUCCGAAUGGGGCAACCCAAUGUAUAGAGAUAUGCAUUACCUAUAUAGGAGCGAACGAGGGGAAUUGAAACAUCUUAGUACCCUCAGGAAAAGAAAUCAAUAGAGA